UCCUGGUUAGCUCAGUUGGUAGACUGCUCCACUGGAAAUGGAGAGGUCCCUGGUUCGAUAACAGAACCAGGCG
rnacentral:tRNA from 2 species